UGCGUAAGCGGAUUAAUAAGUCAGUGGUGAAAACCUGCAGCUUAACUGUAGAACUGCCAUUGAUACUGUUAGUCUUGAGUACGGUCAAGGUAGGCGGAAUGUGUAAUGUAGCGGUGAAAUGCUUAGAUAUUACACAGAACACCGAUUGCGAAGGCAGCUUACUGGACCAUUACUGACGCUGAGGCACGAAAGCGUGGGGAGCGAACCGGAUUAGAUACCCGAGUAGUCC
rnacentral:rRNA from 1 species